CAGGCUUAACACAUGCAAGUCGAGGGGCAUCAGGAAGAAAGCUUGCUUUCUUUGCUGGCGACCGGCGCACGGGUGAGUAACACGUAUCCAACCUGCCCUUUACUCGGGGAUAGCCUUUCGAAAGAAAGAUUAAUACCUGAUAGCAUAAUGAUUCCGCAUGGUUUCAUUAUUAAAGGAUUCCGGUAAAGGAUGGGGAUGCGUUCCAUUAGGUUGUUGGUGAAGUAACGGCCCACCAAGCCUUCGAUGGAUAGGGGUUCUGAGAGGAAGGUCCCCCACAUUGGAACUGAGACACGGUCCAAACUCCUACGGGAGGCAGCAGUGAGGAAUAUUGGUCAAUGGGCGCUAGCCUGAACCAGCCAAGUAGCGUGAAGGAUGAAGGCUCUAUGGGUCGUAAACUUCUUUUAUAUAAGAAUAAAGUGCAGUAUGUAUACUGUUUUGUAUGUAUUAUAUGAAUAAGGAUCGGCUAACUCCGUGCCAGCAGCCGCGGUAAUACGGAGGAUCCGAGCGUUAUCCGGAUUUAUUGGGUUUAAAGGGAGCGUAGGUGGACUGGUAAGUCAGUUGUGAAAGUUUGCGGCUCAACCGUAAAAUUGCAGUUGAUACUGUCAGUCUUGAGUACAGUAGAGGUGGGCGGAAUUCGUGGUGUAGCGGUGAAAUGCUUAGAUAUCACGAAGAACUCCGAUUGCGAAGGCAGCUCACUGGACUGCAACUGACACUGAUGCUCGAAAGUGUGGGUAUCAAACAGGAUUAGAUACCCUGGUAGUCCACACAGUAAACGAUGAAUACUCGCUGUUUGCGAUAUACAGUAAGCGGCCAAGCGAAAGCAUUAAGUAUUCCACCUGGGGAGUACGCCGGCAACGGUGAAACUCAAAGGAAUUGACGGGGGCCCGCACAAGCGGAGGAACAUGUGGUUUAAUUCGAUGAUACGCGAGGAACCUUACCCGGGCUUAAAUUGCAGUGGAAUGAUGUGGAAACAUGUCAGUGAGCAAUCACCGCUGUGAAGGUGCUGCAUGGUUGUCGUCAGCUCGUGCCGUGAGGUGUCGGCUUAAGUGCCAUAACGAGCGCAACCCUUAUCUUUAGUUACUAACAGGUUAUGCUGAGGACUCUAGAGAGACUGCCGUCGUAAGAUGUGAGGAAGGUGGGGAUGACGUCAAAUCAGCACGGCCCUUACGUCCGGGGCUACACACGUGUUACAAUGGGGGGUACAGAAGGCAGCUAGCGGGUGACCGUAUGCUAAUCCCAAAAUCCUCUCUCAGUUCGGAUCGAAGUCUGCAACCCGACUUCGUGAAGCUGGAUUCGCUAGUAAUCGCGCAUCAGUCACGGCGCGGUGAAUACGUUCCCGGGCCUUGUACACACCGCCCGUCAAGCCAUGGGAGCCGGGGGUACCUGAAGCACGUAACCGCAAGGAUCGUCCUAGGGUAAAACUGGUGACUGGGGC
rnacentral:rRNA from 1 species